UAAAUGUUAAAUGUGUCGCCAAGUGUAAAGUGGCGACAGUGUAAAAAUCCCCAGGGAAACCACGCCCAUUGCAGACUGCAAUGGCUUCAAAUCCCAAAUCGCGCGGCAAAGAUCGCAGGCCAGGCAUGGCCGGUUCUCUGGAAGUCCAAGACAUCGAACGGGCGAGCAGCUGUACGGGCUGCACUCCAGGGUGUAGCUCCCCCGGUCCAGUCCACAAAAGCAACGGUCACAGGCUGCCCACUGCCCUCCCUGGAAGAGCUUGCCAGCUCCCGCUGCCGAAACAGGACCAGAUCCAUUCUAAAAGACGCUGCGCACCCUGCUCACCACCUGUUCGAUCUGCUUCCCUCUGGCAGGCGAUACAGUUCAAUGAAAUCACGCACCACCAGACUAACCAACAGCUUCUUCCCCUGGGCCAUACGUACGCUAAACAAAAAAUAACCCCUGUGCAAUACAUAGACAACCACAUGAACGAUCACCACUACCUUUGGACAUUCCUCAUUAUGCUUACCUUCCUGGACCUGCUGCUAUAUAGAUAUAUGUGGGCAGAAGGGGUUGUUGUCUGGGAGGGAGGGGAGGGUGUAGGACACUUAAAUGUGCCUUAAGUGGAAGGCAGGGGGAGGGGUUAUUGGGGUUAUUGUUAUUGUUGUUAUUGUUAUAUAUUUAUUAAUAUUUCGUUCUGUAUUCUAUUCUUUUUAUUUUAUUUUUAAAAAGCACUGAACAAGGUCUGCACCUUAAUUUCUUUGUGUAAAUACACUGUAUUUAACCCAAUGACAAAUAAAGAUUCUAUUCUAUUCUGAGGUUUACAGGAGAUGCUGAACCUGCAUCCAGACGUGGACGCGUCAAAGCCUGUGUGCGGUUAAGUGGGAUAUGUGCCCAAAUAAGGAUCUUGCCGGUCGUUUGGAUAAGACGCCAGCAUAAGGAUCUUGCCGGUCGUUUUGGAUAAAACGCCAGCGUGGACCAGUCGACACGAGGACCGCGACUGUCCGCUCGCUUCCACACACACACGCACGCACUCCUCCAAGUGAGGUGAAAGGUACAUUUGUUGUUUGUUUGCUCCUGUGAGUGAAGCGGCCGUUCUGUUUUUGGCCUCCACGUACCCAAGCGACGACACAGGCCUGCAACGUGGGGAUAAAUAGUUUGUGCCGGCAUAGGACUUUAUAUUGCUUUGUACAUUAUCUUUCCAAAAUGCAUUUGAUUCCUUGUGUGAAUUGGUUUACUUGUGGGUCGAUGCACAGAAUGAUUCAUGUUGAUGUUUAACGUGUUAAUACAAUGAAACCUAUCUUUCAUAGUUAAUUAUGUGUGUUUUUAUUGUAAUUACCAGGCCAGUGAUUCCUGUUUAUUAGGGGUUUAGUUCUACAAUACUCUACGAGACACUACAAUACAACUAAACAUAAAAUCGGGUAGAUUACCACAUAUAGGGUGUUGUCAGUUUAUUAGGCCCCGUCCACACGAAGGCGAAACCGUUACGGUUUCGAUCUAUCCGGUUUCGCCGUAUCUCCGUAAAGACGAAACCAAGCGAAACCGGGUAGAUCUGUAGAAACGCUGUAGUACACAUUCCAGGCCCAUAAGGGGCGCUGCUUCUGCUACAGAAAUCCUUGUUGUUGUGAGUUCUGAGACUCCGCGGGCUUAACAGUCAUUGGCUAGAGGGUCGAGGGGUGGGGCGAUGACGUCAUGGUUUACGGUUUCAGUCGGUUUCAGGCGUCCACAUGAAUCCAAAACGAAACCGGGUAGAUUUGAAACCACCUCCGAGGGUGGUUUCAGAAGUUUGCGGUUUCGGUCAGCGGAUUCGCCGGCUUCGUGUGGACGGAAGGCCGAACCGUACAAGACCUUUGCGGUUUCGCCAUGAAAUCGGCUUCGUGUGGACGGGGCCCACGUGAACUUGGGAGCGUCCCAGUUAACUUUUGGGUUAAUUAGAAGAUCAUGUCCAUAGCCAUGGCAUGGGGGCGCUACAUAUAUAUAAGCAAUAUCACACUCGAGGUCGUGCUGUUGUAGUGCUGAUAUUAGUGAUUUUCCUGAUAUAUUGGGCAGGCGGAGUCAGACGAGACGAAGUAGAAGUUGAGCCUCUGCGUGCUGCAGCCCGGACUCGUAAAAACCGCCCAAUCUGGCAGCGCAGCCUGCACGUCCUCCAUGUUCUGACCUCAGCUAAUCACUGAGACCAACUGAAAUGAAGCCGAUACGGAACGUAAACUGUGAUUCUGAAAAAAGUAUAAAGGCGACCAACGCAGUAACCCAGAACGAGGCAAGACGACAGAGGGGAAGAUUUUCAUCAGUAGCCUAUUCGACCAGCGCCACCUCUUCCACCAACACCAGGUUGGAGCUGUGGGCUGCGCUGCCUGUUGAGAGGAACAGUCCUCCAGGGGACGGCAGCCGCGGCACCAGGAAGCAGCAAGCAGGAGGGGGAGGGGGGGUUGAUCCCCAGACGGCCCCACACACAUUAGCGUUAAACCAACACUGUUGUCUUCUGGGUCUAUAGCAGCCAGAGG
ensembl:lncRNA